CCUGUCUCUCUGUAUGAACCUGUCUCUCUGUAUGAACCUGUCUGUCUGUAUGAACCUGUCUGACUCUCUGUCUUCAGGGUCCUUUGACAGAUUUUUCCAAACGCAGUCGGAGCGCAAAGUUUCGUCUCGUCCCGAAGUUCAAAAAGGACAAAAACAACAAAAACAGAGAGACCUGCACUACCUGUCUGUCUCUGCCAGUUCACCAGUGGGGGACGGAGGAGGUGGGGGCGUGGCUGGAUUUCCUGUGUCUCUCUGAGUAUAAAGACAUCUUCAUCGGACACGACGUCCGCGGAGCCGAACUCAUCCACCUGGAGAGGAGGGACCUGAAGGAUCUGGGUGUAACUAAAGUAGGUCACAUGAAAAGGAUCCUUCAGGGGAUCCGAGAUAUCAACAGGAACAGCAGCGCCAGCGAGGCCUGAAGCGUCACCGACAACCCUGAACGCAGCCGCUCGCUGUGACUUCACAGCUGGAGCUCACUGUGAUUGGACCAAUCUCAGGACCAGCUAGUGCCUUGUCAUCUCAACCUGGACCCCCCCCCCCCGCCACAGAC